rnacentral:rRNA from 1 species
AGUGAACGCUGGCGGUAGGCCUAACACAUGCGAGUCGAACGGCAGCACAGUAAGAGCUUGCUCUUACGGGUGGCGAGUGGCGGACGGGUGAGGAAUACAUCGGAAUCUACUUUUUCGUGGGGGAUAACGUAGGGAAACUUACGCUAAUACCGCAUACGACCUACGGGUGAAAGCAGGGGAUCUUCGGACCUUGCGCGAUUGAAUGAGCCGAUGUCGGAUUAGCUAGUUGGCGGGGUAAAGGCCCACCAAGGCGACGAUCCGUAGCUGGUCUGAGAGGAUGUUGCGCGACACAGGAGCUGAGAAACGACCCAGGCUCCGAGGGAGGGCAGGAGGGGGGAAGAUGGGGAAAGGGGGGGAAGCCUGAUCAAGCCACUGCGCGGGGGUGAAGAAGGCCUUCGGGUUGUAAAGCCCUUUUGUUGGGAAAAAAAAGCAGCAGGUUAAACCCCCGGUGUUUGGACGGAACCCAAAAAAAAAGCACCGGCUAAUUUGUG